UACGAAGGGUGCAAGCGUUACUCGGAAUUACUGGGCGUAAAGCGUGCGUAGGUGGUUUGUUAAGUCUGUUGUGAAAGCCCCGGGCUCAACCUGGGAAUGGCAAUGGAUACUGGCAGGCUAGAGUGCGGUAGAGGGUAGUGGAAUUCCCGGUGUAGCGGUGAAAUGCGUAGAGAUCGGGAGGAACACCAGUGGCGAAGGCGGCUCACUGGACCAUUACUGACGCUGAUGCACGAAAGCUAGGGGAGCAAACAGG
rnacentral:rRNA from 1 species